rnacentral:rRNA from 1 species
AGAGUUUGAUCCUGGCUCAGAACGAACGCUGGCGGCGUGGAUAAGACAUGCAAGUCGAGCGAGAUUUUUUCCUGUAGCAAUACAGGGAAAAGUCUAGCGGCGAACGGGUGCUUAACACGUGGGCAAUCUGUCUUAAAGUGGGGGAUAGCUCGGCGAAAGCCGAAUUAAUACCGCAUGUGGUUAGAGUGGACAUCCAUUCAAAAUCAAAGGUGGCGCAAGCUACCGCUUUUUGAGGAGCCCGCGGCCUAUCAGCUAGUUGGUGAGGUAACGGCUCACCAAGGCUUUGACGGGUAGCUGGUCUGAGAGGACGACCAGCCACACUGGGACUGAGACACGGCCCAGACACCUACGGGUGGCAGCAGUCGAGAAUUUUUCUCAAUGGGGGAAACCCUGAAGGAGCGACGCCGCGUGGAGGAUGAAGGUCUUCGGAUUGUAAACUCCUGUCAUUGGGGAACAAGGUGCAUACGUUAACUGCGUGUGCAUUGAUAGUACCCGAAGAGGAAGAGACGGCUAACUCUGUGCCAGCAGCCGCGGUAAUACAGAGGUCUCAAGCGUUGUUCGGAUUCAUUGGGCGUAAAGGGUGCGUAGGCGGCGCGGUAAGUCGGGUGUGAAAUCUCGGAACUUAACUCCGAAACUGCAUUCGAUACUGCCGUGCUUGAGGACUGGAGAGGAGACUGGAAUUUACGGUGUAGCGGUGAAAUGCGUAGAUAUCGUAAGGAAGACCAGUGGCGAAGGCGGGUCUCUGGACAGUUCCUGACGCUGAGGCACGAAGGCCAGGGGAGCAAACGGGAUUAGAUACCCCAGUAGUCC